GGGGUAUUCGUAUAUCGGCUAUUAUACUCGACUGUCUAUCGAGAGAGAGGGGUUCGAUUCCCCUAUACCUCGCCA
rnacentral:tRNA from 1 species